UCUCCACUGGCAAAGACAUUUCCUGGAUCUCUGCCCCUGCAGAAAGCCUGGCAGUGCUCUUGCACAGCCUCUCUAUUUGGCCAUCCUGCUCCUUCAGAGCAGAACAAAGCUCUGAUGUUCACGGAAGAGGCUUUGGUGGAGAGCAGCUUUCUCUUGGCAUGGGAGCCAGGCUUGCUUCCUGUCAAGAAGAGCCAUGAAAAAAUGGCCUUGGCAAGCCUCCAGCAGGUCUGUGUCCCUUUGCAGAGAUUUUGGACAGAAGAUUCUGCUGACUUCGGGCCAGAGACCACCGCCCAUGGGAUCCGGGUAUUCCCGAGGUUUCAGCUCACUGUGGAAAAGAGCAGAGCAGAGGUUGCCGCGGAAAAGAAAGCUGCAGUAGAGUGGAAGAUGAGUAGAGGUGAGGGAACAGGUCCCAGCUGUAGGGAGGUGGGCCCUGUCCCGUGCCGGGUGACCGGAUCCAGGUUCACGUGCUGUGUCCGUGGGGCUGCUCUGAAGAACUUCUUUCUGUCUUGGUUCCAGGGGGCUCUGCCGGCAGGCUGCUGCAGAGGCGGAAGACACUUCCCCCCUCCAUGCUGCUGCAGCGCAAGCCAAGCUCAAGGCAGAAAGACGUGGCGAAGGAGCCUUCUGCCAGGUGAGAGCCUUGGGCGAAAAGAAGAAGGAGACGCGUGUGCUCGUGUAGGAGUAGCCUCCCCUUUGGAGCUGCCAGCUCUCAGCACCCAGAAAGGCUCCUGACACACGUGUCCCAGUGGGAGCCGUUCUCUCCAGGGAUGGCAAGCAUGCAGCACAAUUGGUCGAGGCAGACACACCAGCUUCAUGUUCCACCCUGGCCCCCGAUCCCUGGGGGAGCUGAAUGCUGAUCCCCAUUGAUGGCAGAAGCUCUUCUCCCUUCAGGGGUCUCUCCGCACUGCACCGGAGCCCAUCUUUACGGCUGUGGGAGCACGGGGGGAGACCGAGGUGCCCUGGGCUCCUGCAGACUCCUCUUGUGUCUGUUUGCAGCGCGCUCCCGCCAGGUGCAGGCAGCUCCCG
rnacentral:lncRNA from 1 species